rnacentral:tRNA from 2 species
GCACCCGUAGCUUAAUUGGAUAGAGCAUCUGACUACGGAUCAGAAGGUUAGGGGUUCGACUCCCUUCGGGUGCA